rnacentral:rRNA from 1 species
UAGGGAAUCUUCGGCAANGGACGGAAGUCUGACCGAGCAACGCCGCGUGAGUGAAGAAGGUUUUCGGAUCGUAAAGCUCUGUUGUUAGAGAAGAACGUUGGUAGGAGUGGAAAAUCUACCAAGUGACGGUAACUAACCAGAAAGGGACGGCUAACUACGUGCCAGCAGCCGCGGUAAUACGUAGGUCCCGAGCGUUGUCCGGAUUUAUUGGGCGUAAAGCGAGCGCAGGCGGUUCUUUAAGUCUGAAGUUAAAGGCAGUGGCUUAACCAUUGUACGCUUUGGAAACUGGAGGACUUGAGUGCAGAAGGGGAGAGUGGAAUUCCAUGUGUAGCGGUGAAAUGCGUAGAUAUAUGGAGGAACACCGGUGGCGAAAGCGGCUCUCUGGUCUGUAACUGACGCUGAGGCUCGAAAGCGUGGGGAGCAAACAGGAUUAGAUACCCUGGUAGUCCACGCCGUAAACGAUGAGUGCUAGGUGUUAGGCCCUUUCCGGGGCUUAGUGCCGCAGCUAACGCAUUAAGCACUCCGCCUGGGGAGUACGACCGCAAGGUUGA